UACACACCGCCCGUCACACCAUGGGAGUUGGUUCUACCUGAAGGCAGUGCGCUAACCCGCAAGGGGGGCAGCUAACCACGGUAGGGUCAGCGACUGGGGUG
rnacentral:rRNA from 1 species